CCAAUCAGAACACAGUAUUUCAGUGGUCUAUAUCCCAUAGUAUAUUAAUUCGUCAAGUGGUGUGGGCUUUGAAGCACUCUUCUAUAUAGAGCAUACUAAUGAGUCUAUUGUUUUCUUUUGUUCUGUAGCUUCAUUAGUAUGCUCUAUAUAGAGCGUACCAGUGACCACAUAGAGCAUACUAAUGAGUUACAUUUGAAGGCGUCAAAGACAAAUUGUUAACUGCAAAAACUUUUAUUUAAUAUAAAGCUCAAAAAUACAGCUGUACCUUCACACAAUCCUUACACAAAUACAAACACACACAAAUACACACACACACUCAACACUCCCAUGCAUGCACACACACGCCAGUCCGAGAUAUAACAAAUGAGUAUCGUUCAGUAACCAGUAUAGUGCCUGACGACGAGAACAGUUCUUCGUCUGCUAACGUUAAAGGAUCUGUCUGUCACAUUUUUCGUCGUGCUAAUGGCAGCAUUUGUCAUUUCUUUCAUCUUUGAAUCCAAAGCUCUAAAUGAUGAAAAAUUGGCGUCGUUCUUUGCCAGGAUGUUCAAAUGAAACCUCAUAUAUAAGAUCGUCUUUGAAAUGUCUGAAUAACCCGCAGUAACAAUGUUACAUAAACUGUUCGCUGGGUAUGACAGUUAUGGCUUGCCACCUCUCCUAGCUUCCAAAAACAAAUCUUGUUAACCAAUAGUCCAGAAAGCAAGAAAACUUGUGUCGCAUUAAUCGCUACAAGUUGCUUCGCUGCGACAGCCCCGUCCAUGCUUUCGAAAAACGCCUAUGCCAAUUACUGACAUAUUAAUGAACCCUAAAACCGAA
rnacentral:lncRNA from 1 species